rnacentral:lncRNA from 1 species
GGUGUGAGUUCGUUAGCGAGCAGGUAGAUGAAAGUUGAACUAAAAUUAAAUCAUGAGAUAUCACAUACUUAGAGAAUGAUUUUUCUAGAAAAGACAAGAUAAAUAAGAGUCUUCAAUUUUUCGAGAUGGAAGAUCCUAAUAUUUAUGGUAUGCCUGUACAACAAGUUAAGGUGAAUGAGAAAUUGCCUCAACCUCAUAAACCUAAUGGAAGUCACAUAUUGCUGAGC